UACAGAGGUCCCAAGCGUUGUUCGGAUUCAUUGGGCGUAAAGGGUGUGUAGGUGGCGCCGUAAGUCGGGUGUGAAAUCCCCAGGCUCAACCUGGGAACUGCACUCGAGACUGGAUUACUAGAGUAUGGGAGAGGGAAGUGGAAUUUCCGGUGUAGCGGUGAAAUGCGUAGAUAUCGGAAGGAACAUCAGUGGCGAAAGCGACUUCCUGGACCAAUACUGACGCUCAUGUGCGAAAGCGUGGGGAGCAAACAGG
rnacentral:rRNA from 1 species